AAACAAAGAUCAGAUUUCAGUAUACGCGGUGAAGGAUUUUGUUUUCUCGCGAUCAGUUGCUUUGCACUAAAAUCAGUUGCUUUGCAAAAAUCUUAACCCACGAUCCUCAAAUCCCUAAUAUUGGAAAUCGAAUUCCUUCAAAGUUCAAACCCUAAGGAAUCCAUAGAAACCGUUCAUGUUCAUCUUCCUCCAAUCUAAUUGCUUGAACCCAACUGUUAACCCUAAUCUCCAAGAACCCAGAAAUCACUGUGAGCCCAACCCAUAACCCAUAAAUCCUCUUCUCUCCACCAUAUACCCAGCAAUUCAAUUUUUUGGAAGUCGUACUUGUUCAUCGUGGUGCCGUCACAACUCAAACCGUGGUUAUUAAGUAUUUUUCUCGCCAUAGACAUUCUACAUACUCUAAAGAGAAGCUAGAUGAGGUGAAGGAGGAGUGGGCUACCCAUAUGGUUGAAGAUGUUAUCAAUGAUGCAAAGAGACUGCAAAAAUAAUAGUUGAUCAUUAAUUGGUAGUUUGAGGGCUUCCUUUUUCGAUGAAGUGGGCGGUUCUCAUCAAGUGACAGGUCGCGGAAGAAAGUAGGGCUAGAGUUUGACUAUCUUUUGUAGUGGUUUUUGUGUUUUGUACUAAAAUUUGUCAUUGAUUUUCUCAUUAGAAGCUAUGGUCAAAGUUUGACAAUAUCUCUUUUGUAGUGGUUUUUGUGUUUGCACUAUUCAAUUCGGAUUUGUCUUGUAGUCGGAUUGAUUUUAUUUAUGAAAUGAAUGUAUUACAAGA